UGUCCAGCUGCCCCAAGGACACUUUCACUGCGCACGGUGCCCGGAGGUAUGUGUAAGCUGGUGCUGGUGGAGAUCAGAAGAGGAGGCCGAUUCCUCGGGAAUGGCUAUACAUAGUUGUGAGCUACCCUGUGGGUCUUCAGCAAGAACAAGUGCUCUUAACCCCCAAGCCACCUCUCUGGUUCUCAGUCACAAGGCUGGAAUUUAACGUUAAAGAAAACUUGGAGAUUUACUAUGGCACAUGGAUUUGCCUUUUACAGACUCCUGGGAGAAGCAGGUGCUGACCAUGAGGAAAUGGAUAGUCAUGCCCUUGGAACUUUUGAAAACCUUUCUUCAAAUGGCGUCACAUGGAUACAAUUCUCAUAAAAGCUGUAUGGCCAAUGGUCAAAUAAGGAAACAAUAGAAACAUGCUGGGAAGGUCCAACUUUGCUCACCCUGCUGACAGACCCACCUGUGCAGCACUCUUGGAAAUGCUUUAUCCUCUGAUUUUAGAACUAACUUCCUUCCUUCCU
rnacentral:sRNA from 1 species